AACGAGCGCAACCCUUGAUCUUAGUUGCCAGCAUUCAGUUGGGCACUCUAAGGUGACUGCCGGUGACAAACCGGAGGAAGGUGGGGAUGACGUCAAAUCAUCAUGCCCCUUAUGACCUGGGCUACACACGUGCUACAAUGGACAGAACAAAGGGCUGCGAGACCGCAAGGUUUAGCCAAUCCCACAAAUCUGUUCUCAGUUCGGAUCGCAGUCUGCAACUCGACUGCGUGAAGCUGGAAUCGCUAGUAAUCGCGGAUCAGCAUGCCGCGGUGAAUACGUU
rnacentral:rRNA from 1 species